GACGAACGCUGGCGGCGUGCUUAACACAUGCAAGUCGAACGGAAAGACCCUGCUUUUGUGGGGUGCUCGAGUGGCGAACGGGUGAGUAACACGUGAGUAACCUGCCCUUGACUUUGGGAUAACUUCAGGAAACUGGGGCUAAUACCGGAUAGGAGCUCCUGCUGCAUGGUGGGGGUUGGAAAGUUUCGGCGAUUGGGGAUGGACUCGCGGCUUAUCAGCUUGUUGGUGGGGUAGUGGCUUACCAAGGCUUUGACGGGUAGCCGGCCUGAGAGGGUGACCGGCCACAUUGGGACUGAGAUACGGCCCAGACUCCUACGGGAGGCAGCAGUGGGGAAUAUUGCACAAUGGGCGGAAGCCUGAUGCAGCAACGCCGCGUGCGGGAUGACGGCCUUCGGGUUGUAAACCGCUUUCGCCUGUGACGAAGCGUGAGUGACGGUAAUGGGUAAAGAAGCACCGGCUAACUACGUG
rnacentral:rRNA from 1 species